rnacentral:lncRNA from 1 species
AGCAUACUGAUCGGGCUGAUGAACCUUUGUGGUCCAUGACCUCCGGGAUAGCUUGUCCGGCCAUGGAGGGCCACGCUCUUGGAGGAGACGAAGCUGUGUCUUCUCCUCCUUCAGCUGCAGCCCCUGCGAGGGCUCCGGAGGACACAGACACAACCUGCCUCUGUCUCGAGAGCUGCGUCCAACGAGUCUGCCGUGAGGGGUUAAUCCCAUGCAGGAGGCUGGGACCUCAGUGACAUCUCAGGGCUACCGGUGCCCCCUGCAGAGCUCCAGAGAGCAGCUCCCAUUCCCCCCUGGCCGGGCCUGCUCCCUCCAUGCUAGCUGAUGCCUGCUCUGUCCCCAGCUGCUCACGGGCCCUGCGCCACAUGCUUUUCAAGUGGGAAACACCUGAAUCAGGUGCUCUUCCGUGCUGCCUUUGAGGACGGAUUUGUGAAAUUCCCUAAUGAAUCACCGUAUACCUCGUUAAAGGAAUGGCGCCGUCCGGGGAGUGCGGUGAGAUGUGUCCGAGCCCCCACGUGGCCAUCACAUGGGAGCAGGUGUACUCAUUCAGCCUCACCUCCUGGGAGGCGGGUCUGGGUUGGACCCUGGCCCCGGUGAGCUCUUCUUAGGAGGCUUCGAUCUGUUGCCAGAGGACAAAGGUCUAGUGGACUUAAAGCCCACACAUGAGCUCUUCUGCUUCUUACAGAGUUUUCCUGUGUUCGCCUGCUCUCGAGAAACACGUGUAGGUUUGGCGAGGUGGGCCUGACCCAUGGACACCUGGCCUUUGACGUCAUUGCCACCUGUCCUCAGAGCCCGGGGCCAGCCUGGACUCGCUCCACAAGCGUCACGUGUUUUCUGUGGGUGUAUUUAGACUCACUUCAGUAAGGACCACGACAGAAGCACGUUCUUAUAGAAAUAAUUAGUUUGCAAAGUUCCCGCGUUAUUUUGUGGUUGAUUUAAUCGGUGCCAUGCUGCUGGAUUAUCCCUUCUUUUAAGCUAUUCACAAUAAUGUCAACAUUCCUUAAAAAAAAAAAAACCUGAGUGAUAUUUGGAAUGACGAUACCAUCUUUGUGGAUAUCCAGUUGCUUCACCUGAACUCAUACUCUUUUU